rnacentral:lncRNA from 1 species
UUGGCAAGAGUGAGCAGGAGUAUGGCUGAAAGGUUGACGGGACAUGGUCAUCGUAUCGUUCAGAUUUUACUCUGUGUGUCGGGCAGAAUGGGGUGGAGGGAGAUAAUAUGGAAAAGACUUAAUUAGUAGUUUGUUACAGCAAGGGAAGUAAAAGAGGAUAUGGAAACUACUUAAACACUCCUUUAGUUAGCUGGUCAUUUUUGACCGGUUAACUGAAGAAAGUGUGCAUUUUAUUAAGUAUAAAUGAAGUUUGGGUG